CCCGCUGAACUUAAGCAUAUCAAUAAGCGGAGGAAAAGAAACUAACAAGGAUUCCCCUAGUAACUGCGAGUGAAGCGGGAAGAGCUCAAAUUUGAAAUCUGGCGGUCCCUUGGGCUGUCCGAGUUGUAAUCUAGAGAAGUGCUACCUGUGCUGGACCGUGUACAAGUCUCCUGGAAUGGAGCAUCACAGAGGGUGAGAAUCCCGUCUUUGACACGGACUGCCAUGUGCGAUAUGGUGCGCUCUCGAAGAGUCGAGUUGUUUGGGAAUGCAGCUCAAAACGGGUGGUAAAUGCCAUCUAAAGCUAAAUAUUGGCGAGAGACCGAUAGCGAACAAGUACCGUGAGGGAAAGAUGAAAAGAACUUUGGAAAGAGAGUUAAACAGUACGUGAAAUUGCUGAAAGGGAAACGCUUGAAGUCAGUCGCGUCGGCUGGAAAUCAGUCUUGCUUCUGCUUGACGUACUUUCUGGUUCGACGGGUCAGCAUCAGUUUUGACCGCCGGAUAAAGUCGUUGGGAAUGUGGCAUCUUCAUGAUGUGUUAUAGCCCGUCGUCGCAUACGGUGGUCGGGAUUGAGGAACUCAGCACGCCGCAAGGCCGGGUCGUUUCGACCACGUUCGUGCUUAGGAUGCUGGCAUAAUGGCCUUAAUCGACCCGUCUUGAAACACGG
rnacentral:rRNA from 1 species